UGGUACGUCAUCAGGGUUCUAGUCUAACAAUCUCAAAUUCACACUUUGCUAGAAAAACACCUUUUUUUGCCUAUUGGAGAGAAGAAGUACAAACAGACAAGAACAGGGGGGAGAAAGAUGGAAAUGAUAUGCAACAAUACUCCUCAGCCAGCAG